GCCGCGGUGGUGGAAUGGUAGACACGAAGGCCUUAAGAGCCUUUACCCUCACGGGUGUGGAGGUUCGACUCCUCUUCGCGGUA
rfam:Microgenomates (Levybacteria) bacterium GW2011_GWA2_40_8 TT21_C0001, whole genome shotgun sequence.